AGAGCGAACGCUGGCGGCAGGCUUAACACAUGCAAGUCGAACGGAUCCUUCGGGAUUAGUGGCGGACGGGUGAGUAACACGUGGGAACGUGCCUUUAGGUUCGGAACAACACAGGGAAACUUGUGCUAAUACCGGAUGUGCCCUUCGGGGGAAAGAUUUAUCGCCUUUAGAGCGGCCCGCGUCUGAUUAGCUUGUUGGUGAGGUAAAGGCUCACCAAGGCUACGAUCAGUAGCUGGUCUGAGAGGAUGGCCAGCCACAUUGGGACUGAGACACGGCCCAAACUCCUACGGGAGGCAGCAGUGGGGAAUCUUGCGCAAUGGGGGAAACCCUGACGCAGCCAUGCCGCGUGGAUGAUGAAGGUCUUAGGAUUGUAAAAUCCUUUCAGCGGGGACGAUAAUGACGGUACCCGCAGAAGAAGCCCCGGCUAACUUCGCGCCAGCAGCGC
rnacentral:rRNA from 1 species